rnacentral:rRNA from 1 species
GGGGGAAUCGACCCCCUCGGUGUCGUAGCUAACGCGUUAAGUGUUCCGCCUGGGGAGUACGCACGCAAGUGUGAAACUCAAAGGAAUUGACGGGGGCCCGCACAAGCGGUGGAGUAUGUGGUUUAAUUCGAUGCAACGCGAAGAACCUUACCAGGAUUUGACAUCCUGCGAACCUCUUAGAAAUUUGAGGGUGCCUUCGGGAACGCAGUGACAGGUGGUGCAUGGCUGUCGUCAGCUCGUGUCGUGAGAUGUUGGGUUAAGUCCCGCAACGAGCGCAACCCACGUUUUUAGUUGCCAGCAUUUAGUUGGGCACUCUAGAAAGACCGCCGGUGAUAAACCGGAGGAAGGUGUGGAUGACGUCAAGUCAUCAUGCCCCUUACAUCCUGGGCUACACACGUACUACAAUGCUACGGACAAAGGGCAGCAAACUCGCGAGGGCAAGCAAAUCCCAUAAACCGUGGCUCAGUUCAGAUCGUAGGCUGCAACUCGCCUACGUGAAGCAGGAAUCGCUAGUAAUCGCAGGUCAGCAUACUGCGGUGAAUACGUUCCCGGGCCUUGUACACACCGCCCGUCACACCAUGGAAGUUGGCCAUGCCCGAAGUCGUUACUCCAACCCUUGUGGAGGAGGACGCCGAAGGUGGGGCUGAUGACUGGGGUGAAGUCGUAACAAGGUAGCCGUACCGGAAGGUGCGGCUGGAUCACCUCCUAA